ACACUCCUGCGGGAGGCAGCAGUGGGGAAUUUUGGACAAUGGGCGAAAGCCUGAUCCAGCAAUGCCGCGUGUGUGAAGAAGGCCUUCGGGUUGUAAAGCACUUUUGUCCGGAAAGAAAUCCUUGGCUCUAAUACAGUCGGGGGAUGACGGUACCGGAAGAAUAAGCACCGGCUAACUACGUGCCAGCAGCCGCGGUAAUACGUAGGGUGCGAGCGUUAAUCGGAAUUACUGGGCGUAAAGCGUGCGCAGGCGGUUUGCUAAGACCGAUGUGAAAUCCCCGGGCUCAACCUGGGAACUGCAUUGGUGACUGGCAGGCUAGAGUAUGGCAGAGGGGGGUAGAAUUCCACGUGUAGCAGUGAAAUGCGUAGAGAUGUGGAGGAAUACCGAUGGCGAAGGCAGCCCCCUGGGCCAAUACUGACGCUCAUGCACGAAAGCGUGGGGAGCAAACAGGAUUAGAUACCCGGGUAGUCCCAUGAU
rnacentral:rRNA from 1 species